rnacentral:misc_RNA from 1 species
GUAUUGAGUUUAUAGGUUGUAAAAACCUAAAACAAGACAUUCUAUGACUUUGUUUAAAAGGGAUAAGGGGGGAGACUAUGAAAUUGAAUGGGAGCUAACGCAACCCUUUCAAUCCAAUGGCAAGCCAUUGAGAGAUAUCAUAGUCUACUACAGUGCACAAUGGUUAAAGAUGAAUUUGAAGGUGAGCACUUGCAAAGCCAGCUCAACCUCCGUGAAUUCAGUAAUGAUCCUUCCGCAGGUUCACCUACGGAAA